UGAUGGGUCUAUCAGGUAACAUGCUGGGUGAUGGGUCUACCAGGUAACAUGCUGGGUCUAUCAGGUAACAUGCUGGGUCUAUCAGGUAACAUGCUGGGUCUAUCAGGUAACAUGCUGGGUCUACCAGGUAACAUGCUGGGUCUAUCAGGUAACAUGAUGGGUCUAUCAGGUAACAUGCUGGGUGGUGGGUCUAUCAGGUAACAUGCUGGGUCUAUCAGGUAACAUGCUGGGUCUAUCAGGUAACAUGCUGGGUCUACCAGGUAACAUGAUGGAUCUAUCAGGUAACAUGCUGGGUCUACCAGGUAACAUGAUGGGUCUAUCAGGUAACAUGCUGGGUCUAUCAGGUAACAUCCUGGGUCUAUCAGGUAACAUGCUGGGUCUAUCAGGUAACAUGCUGGGUCUAUCAGGUAACAUGCUGGGUCUACCAGGUAACAUGCUGGGUCUAUCAGGUAACAUGCUGGGUCUAUCAGGUAACAUGCUGGGUGGUGGGUCUAUCAGGUAACAUGCUGGGUCUAUCAGGUAACAUGCUGGGUCUAUCAGGUAACAUGCUGGGUCUAUCAGGUAACAUGCUGGGUCUAUCAGGUAACAUGCUGGGUCUAUGGGUCUAACAUGCUGGGUCUAUCAGGUAACAUGCUGGGUCUAUCAGGUAACAUGCUGGGUCUAUCAGGUAACAUGCUGGGUCUAUCAGGUAACAUGCUGGGUCUAUCAGGUAACAUGCUGGGUCAGGUAACAUGCUGGGUCUAUCAGGUAACAUGCUGGGUCUAUCAGGUAACAUGCUGGGUCUAUCAGGUAACAUGCUGGGUCUAUCAGGUAACAUGCUGGGUCUAUCAGGUAACAUGCCGGGUGAUGUGUCUAUCAGAGAGCCAUGAGCCUCCUAGGUUUUGUAUUGAAGUCAAUGUAGCCAGAGGA
ensembl:lncRNA